GAUUUACUAAACACAAGAACCGAAACAGACCAGGCGAGUUUAUCUACCUAUCCGCGGCCCGCUCGCCCAAUCUCUCUCCUCCCUCCGCCCGCGCCCGCAUCCUUCCCGACGCGCCGCCCGAAACCCUAACUCCACCGAUCUAUCUCUCCAGCCCAGCCCGGGGGAGGGGAUGGCGGCGGCGGCGGGAGGGCAGGGCGGCGGCAUGGACGCCGCGCUCCUCGACGACAUCAUCCGCCGCCUGCUCGAGGUGCGGACCGCGCGCCCGGGGAAGCAGGUGCAGCUCUCCGAGUCGGAGAUCCGCCAGCUCUGCACCGUCUCCCGCGACAUCUUCCUCAGCCAGCCCAACCUGCUCGAGCUCGAGGCACCCAUCAAGAUCUGCGGUGACAUCCAUGGUCAAUACAGUGAUCUUUUAAGGCUUUUUGAAUAUGGAGGAUUUCCUCCAGAAGCCAAUUAUCUAUUCUUAGGUGAUUAUGUUGAUCGAGGCAAACAAAGUUUGGAGACUAUAUGCCUUCUUCUCGCGUACAAAAUCAAGAAUCCAGAGAAUUUUUUUCUUCUGAGAGGCAAUCAUGAAUGUGCUUCAAUAAACAGAAUAUAUGGAUUUUAUGAUGAAUGCAAGCGCCGAUUUAAUGUGCGGCUAUGGAAGGUCUUCACCGAAUGUUUUAACUGUCUCCCUGUGGCUGCUCUAAUCGAUGAUAAAAUAUUAUGCAUGCAUGGUGGACUCUCUCCCGAUCUAACACACUUGGAUGAGAUAAAGAACUUGCCGCGACCAACUGAUGUACCGGAUACAGGUCUACUAUGUGACCUUCUUUGGUCAGAUCCGGGAAAAGAUGCUCAAGGGUGGGGCAUGAAUGAUAGGGGGGUCUCAUAUACUUUUGGUGCUGACAAAGUUUCAGAAUUCCUGCAAAAGCAUGACCUUGAUCUUAUUUGCCGGGCUCACCAGGUUGUUGAGGAUGGGUAUGAAUUCUUUGCUGACAGACAGCUUGUCACCAUAUUCUCGGCUCCCAAUUAUUGCGGCGAAUUUGACAAUGCUGGUGCGAUGAUGAGUGUUGAUGAAACUUUGAUGUGUUCUUUCCAAAUUCUCAAACCUGCCGAGAGAAAAAACAAAUUUAUGGCGUCAAACAAAAUGUGACAUGGUGAUGCCUUUCCACUUCCAGUGUGUCUGAGUCAAGACUGUCUACUAGGCUUUCUUCUGUGGAUGCAUUAAGACAUCAGUGUGCCGGCGCUAGGCUUGAAGGCAGCAUUGGGGCCAUUUCUACCAGAGAAACCAAAUAAUAUCAUACCUAACUGUUCGUCUGGAACUUACUCUUCAUGGCAAGUGCCUGAUUUUUUUUUCCUUUCUUGUUACCGCGUGUGAAACUAUCUUGUAGUUGUAGAUAUAUUGAUUAUGGAAGGAUGAAGUUGCCAAAUUGACCUGAGGCGAUUUCCAUAUCCAGCCAGGAAUUAUUCUGAAUAUCAAGGAGUUUCUGUUUGGAAGUUCAACUAUUUAAAAGCAGUUGUAUUAGUUGUAUGGAGGUAAGGACUAAGCCAAGGCCGUGUUUUCUGGCGCUUGUAAUCAGUUGUAUGGAGGUAAGGACCAGCUUAACUGCCAACUGGGUGCAUCGUGAGCUUUAACUGUCGUUAUGGGAUUCAAAUAUGCUCAUUUUUGUUAUGGUGUUA